AGUGAACGCUGGCGGCAGGCCUAACACAUGCAAGUCGAGCGGCAGCGGGUCCCCGCGAGGGGAUGCCGGCGAGCGGCGGACGGGUGAGGAACACAUCGGAAUCUGCCUGGUUGUGGGGGAUAACGUAGGGAAACUUACGCUAAUACCGCAUGCGACCCUGAGUCGACGGACUUGGGGUGAAAGUGAGGGACCUUCGGGCCUCACGCGACCAGAUGAGCCGAUGUCGGAUAGCUAGUUGGCGGGGUAACGGCCCGCCAAGGCGACGAUCCGUAGCUGGUCUGAGAGGAUGAUCAGCCACACUGGGACUGAGACACGGCCCAGACUCCUACGGAGGCAGCAGUGGGAAUCUUGGACAAUGGGCGCAAGCCUGAUCCAGCCAUGCCGCGUGGGU
rnacentral:rRNA from 1 species